CUCUUCAGGUUUAGUCCUGCCUCCUUCCAGGAAGCAGCUCACCUGUGCGUCUGUGUUUAGUGUCCAAGUGUGGAGUGGAGCUUGUUGUUCGUGUAUCUCUUUAAAGAAACUGUGGAGUCCCGCCUCCUUCCAGCAAAUACCUCACAUGUGUCUCUGUGUUUAGUGUCCAGGUGUGGAGUGGGAGCUUGUUGUUUGUUUCUCUGUGUGGAGAAACUGCAGGAGUGGUGGUAAGGAGGACCCAGAGUGCAGACUCCAGAGACAGACGUGAACUCAAAAAACAGCUUUAAUGCUGAACUCAAAGUAACAAACUUCCACAAUAAAAAGACUAAAAGCUGGCAGAACACACAGCAUGAAUGAGGGUAGAUCGCAACACGGAUACAGAGAAACACAGGGCUUAAAUGCACAGAGGGAGCAAUCAGGGAAUGGGAAACAGGAGGGAAACACAGUUGAGGCAAAUCAGGCCUGACCAGACAAAGCAAAACAGAAGCAAAACCAGACGCAUUAAGAUGAGACAUGGACUUUCGAAGUAAAACAGAAAACACAGACUGAACUUACAGACACAGACUCACAAGCAGCCACAGCAACAGAGGGAAGAGAGACGUGGGACCAGGGCAGACACAGAAAAGAGGGAGUAUGGAAACCAAAACCUUCACAAAAAUAAACUAAGAAGAGAACACAAAUAAAGGGUACAAAACUGAAGCCACUGGGUCAACGACCCAGGAUCCCUGACAGAUGGCAGCUUCCUCUGCCUCACACUUCUGUCUGACUGCAUUCAGCUGGCAGUGAGAGGAAGCGAGACAAAGCCGAAAAGAGGCAGUUGAUGUUUGGACAGCACAUGUGAUGGAAAGGAGGAUUUCAGUUCAUGUGCACAUGAAUGAUUUGUGUUUCCU